rnacentral:pre_miRNA from 1 species
CUUGUACUCCGUCCGUCCGAAAAUACUUGUCAUUGAAAUGGGUGUAUCUAGAUGUAUUUUAGUUCUAGACACAUCCAUUUUGAUGACAAGUAAUUCCGGAUGGAGGGAGUACUUG